CGACUUUGUUUGGUCACUUCUGGAAGCUGCUGCCAUGCACAGAGAGAGCCAUGGAGAACUUUGCUGGUGGAAGACGUGUCCUUGCUUGUUGCUGGUGGUGCACAGAAAAGAUCGUGGGUGGAGGCUGUGCUCUGCUUGCCAUGGGGUCCCUGGCUGCUCUUAGGGGAGCAGCUCCAGGUGCUGCCAGUCACCUCAGCAGCAAAAAGGAAAAAGGGGAGACAUGCAGACAUGGAAUUAAUUUCUCAAAAUUAC
rnacentral:lncRNA from 1 species